rnacentral:sRNA from 1 species
CCGCCUGCUGCGGGGCGAUGAAGUGGAUAUGCGUGUCGAUCGCGCCCGCCGUGACGAUCAUGCCUUCGCCCGCGAUGAUAUCCGUGCCGCCGCCGAUGAGAAUGGUGACGCCCGGCUGGAUAUCCGGAUUACCGGCCUUGCCGAUGCCGGAGAUGCGACCGUUCUUGAUGCCGAUAUCGGCCUUGAUGAUACCCCCGUGGUCGAGGAUGAUGACAUUGGUGAUGACCACGUCGGCCACCUCCGACGCCGGUCGUUGGCCCUGGCCCAUGCCGUCGCGG